UACGUAGGGCGCAAGCGUUAUCCGGAAUUAUUGGGCGUAAAGAGCUCGUAGGCGGUUUGUCGCGUCUGCCGUGAAAGUCCGGGGCUCAACUCCGGAUCUGCGGUGGGUACGGGCAGACUAGAGUGAUGUAGGGGAGACUGGAAUUCCUGGUGUAGCGGUGAAAUGCGCAGAUAUCGGGAAGAACACCCGUGGCGAAGGCGGCUCUCUGGGACGGUACUGACGCUGAGACGCGAAAGCGUGGGGAGCGAACAGG
rnacentral:rRNA from 1 species